rnacentral:rRNA from 1 species
UACAGGGGGUGCUAGCGUUGUUCGGAAUUACUGGGCGUAAAGGGCGCGUAGGCGGUUUUGCAAGUCAGGAGUGAAAUCCCGGAGCUUAACUUCGGAAUUGCUUUUGAAACUACAAGGCUAGAGUGAGUUAGAGGAUGGCGGAAUUCCUAGUGUAGUGGUGAAAUACGUAGAUAUUAGGAAGAACACCGGUGGCGAAGGCGGCCAUCUGGGACUCAACUGACGCUGAGGCGCGAAAGCGUGGGGAUCAAACAGG